rnacentral:rRNA from 1 species
AGUGGGGAAUAUUGGACAAUGGGCGCAAGCCUGAUCCAGCAAUGCCGCGUGGGUGAAGACGGCCUGCGGGUUGUAAAGCCCUUUAGGCGGGGAAGAACGGCCGGGCGCAAAUAGCGCGCGGCUCUGACGUUACCCGCAGAAUAAGCACCGGCUAACUCCGUGCCAGCAGCCGCGGUAAUACGGAGGGUGCGAGCGUUAAUCGGAAUUACUGGGCGUAAAGCGUGCGUAGGCGGUUCGGUCAGUCAGCCGUGAAAGCCCCGGGCUCAACCUGGGAACGGCGGUUGAGACGGCCGGACUAGAGUGGGCUAGAGGAUCGUGGAAUUCCCGGUGUAGCGGUGAAAUGCGUAGAGAUCGGGAGGAACACCGAUGGCGAAGGCAGCGGUCUGGGGCCACACUGACGCUGAGGCACGAAAGCGUGGGGAGCAAACAGGAUUAGAUACCCUGGUAGUCCACGCGGUAAACGAUGAGCACUAGACGUCGGGUGGGUGACCGUCCGGUGUCGCAGCUAACGCGCUAAGUG